rnacentral:rRNA from 1 species
AGGGCGAAUUAGUAUGUGGUUGUAGACCCGAAACCAGGUGAUCUACCCAUGUCCAGGGUGAAGUCCAGGUAACACUGGAUGGAGGCCCGAACCCACGCACGUUGAAAAGUGCGGGGAUGAGGUGUGGGUAGCGGAGAAAUUCCAAUCGAACCUGGAGAUAGCUGGUUCUCUCCGAAAUAGCUUUAGGGCUAGCCUCAUGUUGUAAGAGUCUUGGAGGUAGAGCACUGUUUGGACUAGGGGCCCUCAUCGGGUUACCGAAUUCAGACAAACUCCGAAUGCCAAAGACUUAUCCAUGGGAGUCAGACUGCGAGUGAUAAGAUCCGUAGUCGAAAGGGAAACAGCCCAGACCACCAGCUAAGGUCCCAAAGUAUACGUUAAGUGGAAAAGGAUGUGGAGUUGCUUAGACAACCAGGAUGUUGGCUUAGAAGCAGCCACCAUUUAAAGAGUGCGUAAUAGCUCACUGGUCGAGUGACUCUGCGCCGAAAAUGUACCGGGGCUAAACGUAUCACCGAAGCUGUGGGUGGACACCGUAGGUGUCCGCGGUAGGAGAGCGUUCUAAGGGCGUUGAAGCGGGACCGGGAGGACUCGUGGAGCGCUUAGAAGUGAGAAUGCCGGUAUGAGUAGCGAAAGAUGGGUGAGAAUCCCAUCCACCGAAUGCCUAAGGUUUCCUGAGGAAGGCUCGUCCGCUCAGGGUUAGUCGGGACCUAAGCCGAGGCCGAAAGGCGUAGGCGAUGGACAACAGGUUGAUAUUCCUGUACCACCUCUUUUCCGUUUGAGCAAUGGGGGGACGCAGGAGGAUAGGGCAAGCGCACUGCUGGUUAUGUGCGUCCAAGCAGUUAGGCUGGUCACGAGGCAAAUCCCGUGAUCGCAAGGCUGAGCUGUGAUGGCGAGGGAAAUAUAGUACCGAAGUUCCUGAUUCCACACUGCCAAGAAAAGCCUCUAGCGAGGAAAAAGGUGCCCGUACCGCAAACCGACACAGGUAGGCGAGGAGAGAAUCCUAAGGUGAGCGAGAGAACUCUCGUUAAGGAACUCGGCAAAAUGACCCCGUAACUUCGGGAGAAGGGGUGCUCAUUUGGGUGAAUAGCCCGGAUGAGCCGCAGUGAAUAGGCCCAGGCGACUGUUUAGCAAAAACACAGGUCUCUGCGAAGCCGCAAGGCGAAGUAUAGGGGCUGACGCCUGCCCGGUGCUGGAAGGUUAAGAGGAGGGGUUAGCGCAAGCGAAGCUCUGAAUCGAAGCCCCAGUAAACGGCGGCCGUAACUAUAACGGUCCUAAGGUAGCGAAAUUCCUUGUCGGGUAAGUUCCGACCCGCACGAAAGGCGUAACGAUCUGGGCACUGUCUCAACGAGAGACUCGGUGAAAUUAUAGUACCUGUGAAGAUGCAGGUUACCCGCGACAGGACGGAAAGACCCCGUGGAGCUUUACUGUAGCCUGAUAUUGAAUUUUGGUACAGCUUGUACAGGAUAGGUAGGAGCCUGAGAUGCCGGAGCGCCAGCUUCGGUGGAGGCGUCGGUGGGAUACUACCCUGGCUGUAUUGAACUUCUAACCCGCGCCC